rnacentral:misc_RNA from 1 species
CCGAGUGAAGGGCCUCCGGGCCCGACCUCCAACCCUUCUGUUAUCCGACCUCUGUUGCCUCGGGGGCGACCCGGCCCUCGCGCCGGGGCCCCCGUGGACCACUCUUGAAACCCUUGCAUCUUUGCGUCUGAGUACAAUUUUGAAUCAAUCA